rnacentral:rRNA from 1 species
AACGAACGCUGGCGGCAUGCCUUACACAUGCAAGUCGAACGAGACCUUCGGGUUUAGUGUCGCACGGGUUCGUAACGCGUGGGAACCUGCCUUUAGGCUCGGCCUAACUUCCCGGAAAGGCUGGUAAUACCGGAUAUUAUCCUCGGACCAAAGUUUUAGUGCCCUUGGAUGGGCGCGAGUGGUAUUACCUUGGUAGUAGGGUAAAAGCGUACAAAUGCGACGAGACAUACAUGGUCAGAGAGGAGCAUCAGCCACACUGGUACUAGGCAGCGGCCCAGACUCUUGGGGGAGGGAGCAGUGGCUAAUCUUGGAAAGUGGGCGGCAGCCUGAAGGAGCUAUGCCGCGUGAGUGAUGAAGGCCUUAGAGUUGUAAAGCUCGCUUACCCGGCAUGAUGAUGACGGUACCGGAAGAAUAAGCACCGGCUAACUCCGUG